rnacentral:rRNA from 1 species
UACGUAGGGUGCAAGCGUUAAUCGGAAUUACUGGGCGUAAAGCGUGCGCAGGCGGUGAUGUAAGACAGUUGUGAAAUCCCCGGGCUCAACCUGGGAACUGCAUCUGUGACUGCAUCGCUGGAGUGCGGCAGAGGGGGAUGGAAUUCCGCGUGUAGCAGUGAAAUGCAUAGAUAUGCGGAGGAACACCGAUGGCGAAGGCAAUCCCCUGGGCCUGCACUGACGCUCAUGCACGAAAGCGUGGGGAGCAAACAGG